CUGGAAGCUCUGAAGUCACAGCCCCACUGAUGAAAGGAUGUAAGAACCUAAGAGUGGAAACCUGCCCCUGGGAUUCAUAUGGUGUCCCCUCAGGACUCAAACCCUGGUCUAAAUGAUCACUUUGAUCCAAGGAACCACCUGCCCCACUACAAGUGAACACCAGCUGACCCAGUGCUGACCGUGUUUAUCUUCUGCCUCAGUUUUCCUCAAAUGUACAUGCAAAAGAUAUUAGAUGGCUUCCACAAAGGCUCUAUGCAUAUGAGAAUCCCUGUUCACAAACACAAAGCCCUGUUGACAAGAAGACAAUGAGCCUGGAGGAAAGAUGAAAGAAAGAAAAUUAAGGAAAAGAGGAAAACAAGCAAAAAACUCAGCAAAGAUGUCAUUGCAUAAUAGUCCAU
rnacentral:lncRNA from 10 species